CCCCCCCAACCGGUGGAGCAUGUGGUUUAUUUGGAACCACCGGGAGGACCUUUCCUGGGCCUGGCCAUGCUGGGACCUUUCCAGGGAGGGAUUGGUCCUUUCGGGAAUUCAGCCCCGGUUGUGCCAUGGCGUUGUUCAGUUCUUGUCUUGGGAUGUUGGGUUAAGUCCGCAACGAAGGCCACCCCUGGUCCUUAGUUCCCACCACCAAGGGUGUCACUCUAAUGAGAUCCCAUUUC
rnacentral:rRNA from 1 species